rnacentral:rRNA from 1 species
CCAGUAUCAUAUGCUUGUCUCAAAGAUUAAGCCAUGCACGUCUAAGUACGAGCACUUGUACUGUGAAACUGCGAAUGGCUCAUUAAAUCAGUUAUCGUUUAUUUGAUCGUACCAUUGCUACAUGGAUAACCGUAGUAAUUCUAGAGCUAAUACAUGCGAAAAGUCCCGACUUCUGGAAGGGAUGUAUUUAUUAGAUUAAAAACCAAUGCGGGUUCGCGCCCGGUCACUUGGUGAUUCAUAGUAACUAUUCGAAUCGCAUGGCCUUUGCGCCGGCGAUGAUUCAUUCAAAUUUCUGCCCUAUCAACUGUCGAUGGUAAUGUAGUGGCUUACCAUGGUUGCAACGGGUGACGGAGAAUCAGGGUUCGAUUCCGGAGAGGGAGCCUGAGAAACGGCUACCACAUCCAAGGAAGGCAGCAGGCGCGAAAAUUACCCAAUCCUGACGCAGGGAGGUAGUGACGAAAAAUAACAAUACAGGGCUUUUCAAGUCUUGUAAUUGGAAUGAGUACAAUUUAAACCUCUUAACGAGGAACAAUUGGAGGGCAAGUCUGGUGCCAGCAGCCGCGGUAAUUCCAGCUCCAAUAGCGUAUACUAACGUUGUUGCAGUUAAAAAGCUCGUAGUUGGAUUUCGGGAGGGUGCGGUCGGUCAGCCGCAAGGUAUGCCACUGGCCGUUCUCUCCUUCUUCGCAAAGACUGCUCGUGCUCUUAGCUGAGUGCGGGCAAGAUUCGCGACGUUUACUUUGAAAAAAUUAGAGUGUUCAAAGCAGGCCGGUGCUUGAAUACAUAAGCAUGGAAUAAUGGAAUAGGACUUUGGUUCUAUUUUGUUGGUUUCUGGAACCGAAGUAAUGAUUAACAGAGACAGUUGGGGGCAUUCGUAUUUCGCUGUCAGAGGUGAAAUUCUUGGAUUUGCGGAAGACGAACUAAUGCGAAAGCAUUUGUCAAGAAUGUUUUCAUUAAUCAAGAACGAAAGUUAGAGGAUCGAAGACGAUCAGAUACCGUCCUAGUUCUAACCAUAAACGAUGCCGACUGGGGAUCAGCGGAUGUUAUUGUAUGACUCCGUUGGCACCCUAAGGGAAACCAAAGUUUUUGGGUUCCGGGGGAAGUAUGGUUGCAAAGCUGAAACUUAAAGGAAUUGACGGAAGGGCACCACCAGGAGUGGAGCCUGCGGCUUAAUUUGACUCAACACGGGAAAACUCACCAGGUCCAGACAUAGUAAGGAUUGACAGAUUGAGAGCUCUUUCUUGAUUCUAUGGAUGGUGGUGCAUGGCCGUUCUUAGUUGG